rnacentral:rRNA from 1 species
UGGGGAAUAUUGCACAAUGGGCGCAAGCCUGAUGCAGCCAUGCCGCGUGUGUGAAGAAGGCCUUCGGGUUGUAAAGCACUUUCAGCGGGGAGGAAGGCGUUAAGGUUAAUAACCUUGGCGAUUGACGUUACCCGCAGAAGAAGCACCGGCUAACUCCGUGCCAGCAGCCGCGGUAAUACGGAGGGUGCAAGCGUUAAUCGGAAUUACUGGGCGUAAAGCGCACGCAGGCGGUCUGUCAAGUCGGAUGUGAAAUCCCCGGGCUCAACCUGGGAACUGCAUUCGAAAGUGGCAGGCUAGAGUCUUGUAGAGGGGGGUAGAAUUCCAGGUGUAGCGGUGAAAUGCGUAGAGAUCUGGAGGAAUACCGGUGGCGAAGGCGGCCCCCUGGACAAAGACUGACGCUCAGGUGCGAAAGCGUGGGGAGCAAACAGG